rnacentral:misc_RNA from 1 species
AGGUCAGCCUGUUCUGGUCCUCCUAGAGGCAUAUGGUAGCACCCAGAACUUUGGCCAAGCCCGGAUUCUCCCGAACUAAUCGGUUCUUCUCUAGGAAAUGAAUGACAACCUGGGCACCUAAAGACAGGGUCCUCACAGUAGAUUGGGAAGGCCCACCUUCUGCACUAGAAGGAAUAGGUGGAGGUGGUGGUUCCUCUUGUCGAGGGGGAGAAUGAGCUACCUCUACGUCUGGGACCGGUUGUCUUGAAGGUCGGGACGAGUCUACCGGCGCUUCUCCUGAAUCUCGCCUUGGCGUCUGUGAUGCCACGGCAAUCUUCAUUUCUCGUAUCUUCCUGGAGACCUCCCUCUUUCG